rnacentral:rRNA from 1 species
CCUACGGGAGGCAGCAGUGGGGGAUAUUGCACAAUGGGGGAAACCCUGAUGCAGCGACGCCGCGUGUGGGAAGACGGUCUUCUGGAUUGUAAACCACUGUCCCCAGGGACGAAAAUGACGGUACCUGGGGAGGAAGCUCCGGCUAACUACGUGCCAGCAGCCGCGGUAAUACGUAGGGAGCAAGCGUUGUCCGGAAUUACUGGGUGUAAAGGGAGCGUAGGCGGGGAUGCAAGUUGGAUGUCAAAACUACCGGCUCAACCGAUAGUCGCACUCAAAACUGCAACUCUUGAGUGAAGUAGAGGCAGGCGGAAUUCCUAGUGUAGCGGUGAAAUGCGUAGAUAUUAGGAGGAACACCAGUGGCGAAGGCGGCCUGCUGGGCUCUUACUGACGCUGAGGCUCGAAAGUGUGGGGAGCAAACAGGAUUAGAUACCCGGGUAGUC